AGUGAACGCUGGCGGUAGGCCUAACACAUGCAAGUCGAACGGCAGCACAGUAAGAGCUUGCUCUUACGGGUGGCGAGUGGCGGACGGGUGAGGAAUACAUCGGAAUCUACUUUUUCGUGGGGGAUAACGUAGGGAGACUUACGCUAAUACCGCAUACGACCUACGGGUGAAAGCAGGGGGUCUUCGGACCUUGCGCGAUUGAAUGAGCCGAUGUCGGAUUAGCUAGUUGGCGGGGUAAAGGCCCACCAAGGCGACGAUCCGUAGCUGGUCUGAGAGGAUGAUCAGCCACACUGGAGCUGAGACACGGUCCAGACUCCUACGGGAGGCAGCAGUGGGGAAUAUUGGACAAUGGGCGCAAGCCUGAUCCAGCCAUACCGCGUGGGUGAAGAAGGCCUUCGGGUUGUAAAGCCCUUUUGUUGGGAAAGAAAAGCAGCAGGUUAAUACCCCGCUGUUCUGACGGUACCCAAAGAAUAAGCACCGGCUAACUUCGUG
rnacentral:rRNA from 1 species